rnacentral:rRNA from 1 species
UGGGCGUAAGAGCUCGUAGGCGGUUUGUCGCGUCUGCUGUGAAAUCUGGAGGCUCAACCUCCAGCCUGCAGUGGGUACGGGCAGACUAGAGUGCGGUAGGGGAGAAUGGAAUUCCUGGUGUAGCGGUGGAAUGCGCAGAUAUCAGGAGGAACACCGAUGGCGAAGGCAGUUCUCUGGGCCGUAACUGACGCUGAGGAGCGAAAGCGUGGGGAGCGAACAGGAUUAGAUACCCUGGUAGUCCACGCCGUAAACGUUGGGCGCUAGAUGUGGGGACCUUUCCACGGUUUCCGUGUCGUAGCUAACGCAUUAAGCGCCCCGCCUGGGGAGUACGGCCGCAAGGCUAAAACUCAAAGGAAUUGACGGGGGCCCGCACAAGCGGCGGAGCAUGCGGAUUAAUUCGAUGCAACGCGAAGAACCUUACCAAGGCUUGACAUAACCGAGAACGCCGCAGAAAUGUGGAACUCUUUGGACACUCGGUUACAGGUGGUGCAUGGUUGUCGUCAGCUCGUGUCGUGAGAUGUUGGGUUAAGUCCCGCAACGAGCGCAACCCUCGUCGCAUGUUGCCAGCACGUAAUGGUGGGAACUCAUGUGAGACUGCCGGGGUCAACUCGGAGGAAGGUGGGGAUGACGUCAAAUCAUCAUGCCCCUUAUGUCUUGGGCUUCACGCAUGCUACAAUGGCCGGUACAAAGGGCUGCGAUGUCGUAAGGCGGAGCGAAUCCCAAAAAGCCGGUCUCAGUUCGGAUUGAGGUCUGCAACUCGACCUCAUGAAGUCGGAGUCGCUAGUAAUCGCAGAUCAGCAACGCUGCGGUGAAUACGUUCCCGGGCCUUGUACACACCGCCCGUCAAGUCAUGAAAGUCGGUAACACCCGAAGCCGGUGGCUAACCCUUGUGAGGGAGCCGUCGAAGUGGGAUCGGUG